AGAGUUUGAUCCUGGCUCAGAAUCAACGCUGGCGGCGUGCCUCAGACAUGCAAGUCGAACGAUUAAAGCUUUCUUCGGAGAGUGUAUAGAGUGGCGCACGGGUGAGUAACACGUAAGUAAUCUACCCUCGAGUGGGGAAUAACGUUCGGAAACGAACGCUAAUACCGCAUAACGCAGCGGCACCGCAAGGUGACAGUUGUUAAAGGAGUAAUUCGCUUGAGGAGGAGCUUGCGGCAGAUUAGCUUGUUGGUAAGGUAACGGCUUACCAAGGCUACGAUCUGUAUCCGGUCUAAGAGGACGGUCGGACACACUGACACUGAAUAACGGGUCAGACUCCUACGGGAGGCAGCAGUCGGGAAUUUUGGGCAAUGGGCGAAAGCCUGACCCAGCAACGCCGCGUGAAGGAUGAAGUAUUUCGGUAUGUAAACUUCGAAAGAAUAGGAAGAAUAAAUGACGGUACUAUUUAUAAGCUCCGGCUAACUACGUGCCAGCAGCCGCGGUAAUACGUAGGGAGCAAGCGUUGUUCGGAUUUACUGGGCGUAAAGGGCGCGUAGGCGGCGCGGUAAGUCACUUGUGAAAUCUCUGAGCUUAACUCAGAACGGCCAAGUGAUACUGCAGUGCUAGAGUGUAGAAGGGGCAAUCGGAAUUCUUGGUGUAGCGGUGAAAUGCGUAGAUAUCAAGAGGAACACCUGAGGUGAAGACGGGUUGCUGGUCUAACACUGACGCUGAGGCGCGAAAGCCAGGGGAGCAAACGGGAUUAGAUACCCCGGUAGUCCUGGCCCUAAACGAUGAAUACUUGGUGUCUGGAGUUUCAAUACUCUGGGUGCCGUCGCUAACGUUUUAAGUAUUCCGCCUGGGGAGUACGCUCGCAAGAGUGAAACUCAAAGGAAUUGACGG
rnacentral:rRNA from 1 species